rnacentral:rRNA from 1 species
GUGGGGAAUCUUGCGCAAUGGGCGAAAGCCUGACGCAGCCAUGCCGCGUGAAUGAUGAAGGUCUUAGGAUUGUAAAAUUCUUUCACCGGGGACGAUAAUGACGGUACCCGGAGAAGAAGCUCCGGCUAACUUCGUGCCAGCAGCCGCGGUAAUACGAAGGGGGCUAGCGUUGCUCGGAAUUACUGGGCGUAAAGGGCGCGUAGGCGGACAGCUUAGUCAGAGGUGAAAGCCCAGGGCUCAACCUUGGAAUUGCCUUUGAUACUGGCUGUCUUGAGUUUGGGAGAGGUGAGUGGAACUCCGAGUGUAGAGGUGAAAUUCGUAGAUAUUCGGAAGAACACCAGUGGCGAAGGCGACUCACUGGCCCAAUACUGACGCUGAGGCGCGAAAGCGUGGGGAGCAAACAGGAUUAGAUACCGUGUAGUCC